rnacentral:tRNA from 1 species
GGGGAUUUAGCUCAGUGGUAGAGCACUUGCCUAACAAGCUGGGUUCAGUCCCCA